rnacentral:rRNA from 1 species
GAUGAACGCUGGCGGCGUGCCUAACACAUGCGAGUCGAGCGAACAGACGAGGCUCUUGCUUGUCUGCCGUUGGCGGCGGACGGGUGAGUCACACGUGUAUACCCUGCCUUUAAGGCUGAGAUCACUACGGGAGACCGGAUCUCACAUCGGAUAAUAUAUUGAACCGCGGGGAUCUUUGGUCAAAGCCGGUUUUGCUGACACUAAUAGGUGGUUCCAGGCCGGAUUGGUUAGUUGGUACGGUAACGGCCUACCAAGACUAGGAUGCGUAGCCGACCUGAGAGGAUGAUCGGCCACACUGGAACUGAGACACGGUCCAGACUCCUACGGGAGGCAGCAGUAGGGAAUAUUGGGCAAUGGGCGAAAGCCUGACCCAGCAACGCCGCGUGUGUGAAGAAGGUCUUCGGAUCGUAAAGCUCUUUUAGUAGGGAAGAACAGAAGUGUAUUAAUCCAUGGCUGUCUUGACGGUACCUAAUCAAAAAGCACCGGCUAACUACGUG